CUCUGGCUCCCCCCAGGGAACUCUGAUCCCAAGUCUCUGCAUCCCACCCCCACCCCCAGGGAAUUCUGGCUCCCAAGCGCCCAACGCCCUGCCCCUACCGCACCUCCAGCCAGAGGGCAGACACUUCUGCAAGUUGGACACGCAUUACAGGCAGAACCCAAGAAGCUCAGAAAGCUGCCUGCGCACACACAGCCUGAACAUUUUCCUGAACAAAGGACCAGGCCUGGGACUCAAGUGAGGCGACCUCGGAGGGACCGCACUGGGGCUGGGGGACCGGAAAACCACACCCAGGCAGGGAAGUGGUGGCAGCCUGGCCUGGCGGCUGCCUCUUACAACCCCUCCAGGUUUCUGCCUGCCACCCAGCUCUGACAUGCCCUUUGACCACUGGUCUGUGGGGCCUGUUAGGCCAGGGCACCUGAGAAAGACAAUGGCAGUGGGGGGGAGGAAGAGGAAGCUCCUGGCCUGAUGGAUACUCCCUGCAGCAUCACUCCAGCAGCCUGGCGCCAGGUCCCAGCCUCACCAAAUUCCCUCAGGGGUGGCCAGGCCAGCUGAGCAAGACCCUGUCCUGGGACAGGAGUCCCGGCUCAGCAGGGCACCCCUUCCCAAACAUCUUACCCGCCAGCCGAGCAGCCCGCCCUCCUCAGGGCUCUGAGUCCUAAUCAGUGCCCCUCCUCCAAGCUGCCAACCCCAGAAACCCCCAGACUUAGGAGUGGUAGCCGCCUCCUGCAACCAUCGUCCCGUCACCGUCACUAAAAUGGCUUCUGCCUUCCUGACACAGUACCUGGUACCAGGGUGGGGCUCAUCCCCCACGCACCCCCCUGGCUCCCAGCCAUCCUACUGAGGCAUCUCCACUGGUUGUCGGGCUCAUCCAAUUCCAUAUGCCAGUGGCAGAGCAGACGGCGGCAUGUUCUGGGGAAGGGUAAGAUCACGAAGACGUCCGGCCCACGUGGCUGUAGGGCGGGUGUUCACAGAACCCUAAGGUGCACAGCUGGCUUUGCCACAUAGAGUGGAUCCUGAUGGCCUUGCAAACUGGCAGAGAACAAGCACAUGCCAGGUGUGCUAAGGACACCACCACUGCACCCUCUCAUCGAGGAUGCAUUCUGCCUUUGGAUUGCCGUCCUGACCAGGGAGACGACGUUCCAGAGACUUCCACCUGCCCGUCCCUACCAUGACGGCCCUUGCUCCAAGCACAGGUAGCGAAGACCAGCCACGGCUCACUAGCAAUUGAGGAAAACCUUCAGUCUCCAAGGCCCAUGAUUAAGUGUCUAUUCAGG